rnacentral:rRNA from 1 species
AGCGAGAUGUAGGUGAGAAUCCUACAGGCCGAAUAUCUAAGGUUUCCUCAGGAAGGCUCGUCCGCUGAGGGUUAGUCGGGACCUAAGCCGAGGCCGAAAGGCGUAGGCGAUGGACAAUCGGUUGAUAUUCCGAUACCACUACCAUCGUUAUUAUCGAGGGUGUGACGGAGAAGGAUAGUGUGUGCUAGCGAUUGGAAAUGCUAGUCUAAGCGUUUAGGGAGUUACAGUAGGCAAAUCCGCUGUAACAAUUCUGAGGCGUGAUGGGGAAGGUCAUUAAGACCGAAGUACAUGAUUCCAUGCUUCCAAGAAAAGCAUCUAGAGAGAGAAGUAGUGCCCGUACCGCAAACCGACACAGGUAGAUGAGGAGAGAAUCCUAAGGCCGGCGGAAGAAUUGCAGUUAAGGAACUAGGCAAAUUGACCCCGUAAGUUCGCGAGAUGGGGUGUCUGUGAGAGCAGGCCGCAGAGAAUAGGCCCAAGCAACUGUUUAGCAAAAACACAGGUCUCUGCUAAAGCGUAAGCUGAUGUAUAGGGGCUGACGCCUGCCCGGUGCUGGAAGGUUAAGGGGAACACUUAGCGCAAGCGAAGGUGUGAACUUAAGCCCCAGUAAACGGCGGCCGUAACGAUAACGGUCCUAAGGUAGCGAAAUUCCUUGUCAGGUAAGUUCUGACCCGCACGAAUGGCGUAAUGACUUGGGCACUGUCUCAACUGCAAAUCCGGCGAAGUUGUAGUGCGAGUGAAGAUGCUCGCUACCCGCGAUUGGACGGAAAGACCCCGUAGAGCUUUACUGUAGCUUAGCAUUGAAUUCCGGUAUUGUCUUUACAGGAUAGGUGGGAGACUGGGAAACUAGGGCGUCAGCCUUAGUGGAGUCAACCUUGGGAUACCACCCUGACAGUACUGGGGUUCUAACAGGACGCCAUGAAACUGGUGACUGGACAUUGUUAGGUGGGCAGUUUGACUGGGGCGGUCGCCUCCUAAAAAGUAACGGAGGCGCCCAAAGGUUCCCUCAGAACGGUCGGAAAUCGUUCGUAGAGUGCAAAGGCAGAAGGGAGCCUGACUGCGAGACCCACAAGUCGAGUAGGGACGAAAGUCGGGCUUAGUGAUCCGGUGGUACCUCGUGGGAGGGCCAUCGCUCAACGGAUAAAAGCUACCUCGGGGAUAACAGGCUGAUCUCCCCCAAGAGUCCACAUCGACGGGGAGGUUUGGCACCUCGAUGUCGGCUCGUCGCAUCCUGGGGCUGUAGUAGGUCCCAAGGGUUGGGCUGUUCGCCCAUUAAAGCGGCACGCGAGCUGGGUUCAGAACGUCGUGAGACAGUUCGGUCCCUAUCCGUCGCGGGCGUAGGAAAUCUGAGAGGAGCUGUCCUUAGUACGAGAGGACCGGGAUGGACUGACCUCUGGUGCACCAGUUGUUCUGCCAAGAGCAUAGCUGGGUAGCUAAGUCGGGAAGGGAUAAACGCUGAAAGCAUCUAAGCGUGAAGCCCCCCUCAAGAUGAGAUUUCCCAUAGCAUAAGCUAGUAAGACCCCUUGAAGAACACAAGGUUGAUAGGUCAGAGGUGGAAGUGCGGUAACGUAUGUAGCUGACUGAUACUAAUAGGUCGAGGGCUUGACCG